AUUGAACGCUGGCGGCGUGCCUAAUACAUGCAAGUCGAACGGAGUGGCGCGCGGGUGUGUAAUGUAUAACCAAUCUCCGUUGCACGAGAUGACUACAGGUAGAAAUGACUGCUAAUACUCUAUAGUGUAGGAUGAGGGUAUCUUGUAUCAGCUAGUUGGGGAGGCAAUGGCUCACAGAGGCUAUGACGCAUAACUGGUCUGAGAGGAUGAUGAGCAACCCUGGAAGUGAGACACGGUCGAGACUCCUUGGAGAGGGGGCAAUAGGGAGUAUUGCUCAAUGGGGGAGACCCUGAAGCACCAACGGCGCGUGGAGGAUGACACUUAGCGGAGCGUAGACUCCUUUUGUUAGGGAAGCGGUACCUAACGAAUAAGCACCGGCUAACUCCGUGCCAGCAGCCGCGGUAAUUC
rnacentral:rRNA from 1 species